CUCCAGACUCCUACGGGAGGCAGCAGUGGGGAAUAUUGCACAAUGGGGGAAACCCUGAUGCAGCGACGCCGCGUGAGUGAAGAAGUAUUUCGGUAUGUAAAGCUCUAUCAGCAGGGAAGAAAUAGCGACCUUUGGGUCGCCAGACGGUACCUGACUAAGAAGCCCCGGCUAACUCCGUGCCAGCAGCCGCGGUAAUACGGAGGACGCGAGCGUUAUCCGGAUUUAUUGGGUUUAAAGGGUGCGUAGGCGGACUGUAAAGUCGGCGGUAAAGGCCGGGGGCUCACCCCCGGCGAGCCGUUGAAACUGGCUGUCUUGAGAUGUCGAGAGGUAUGCGGAAUGCGCAGUGUAGCGGUGAAAUGCUUAGAUAUUGCGCAGAACUCCGAUUGCGAAGGCAGCAUACCGGCGGCGAUCUGACGCUGAGGCACGAAAGCGUGGGUAUCGAACAGGAUUAGAUACCCGAGUACA
rnacentral:rRNA from 1 species